ensembl:lncRNA
UAUAUAUAUAUAUUUAUUUAAUACUUAAAUCUCUAAUCAUUCUUCCGUUUCGAACGAAAUUUUCAAUUUGUCUGUAUACUACAUGUCACAUGGAGCCAUAUUCGGACUUCUCUUCUAAGACAAAGAACAUCUGCAUGUAGGUUAAUCAUUCUACAUGCGUUCAGUCUUAAAUACUCGACACGUGUAAAUAAACAACGGCAUUAUGAUUUCAGAGGUCUCGAAAUGUAAAUGUGUCACUUUUCAUUUUAAUAUGGGCUAUUUCAUAAAUAAAAGUGACUAAAGUCAGGUGUGUGAGAUUCUGUUUGAGAUCAGCACCACUCAGCAUCAAACAAAACCUUUCUUAUAUAUUUAUUUUAAAGGAUUUCAAUGAUGAUAAUUAUGCAAUGAUCAAUUAAACUGUUGCAUUAAAACAAAAAUACCCUGAGAAAAGAAAUUAAUAAAUAUUAUUGUGAACACUGAUCGUUUAAGUCUCAGUUAACUUGGCUUUUGAUUUUUAAGAAUUGCCGAGGACCCUUUCAAUUAAAUAUAUAAUUAUAACUGAAUUUAUUUCAUAUUAUUCUUUAUACCUGCCUCCACUGUCCUAAUAACUUGACUUUAGCAGAUGUCCCAAUUGUUCUGAUGACAAACAUGGCUGCUAUCAUAUGCCACGCCCACCACUCAAUAAUCCUUAAAAUACUACCUAAAUUUGACCCACAAGUCGCAAUAUUUAAUUUUUUUGACAAGACUACCUAUUACAGAAGAUAUUUACAAUGUGCCAUGGCAUGUAAAACUUCAUUUGAGCCUUCAGUCUCACUGCAAAGUUGAAAUAGUGCUUCUAAGUGAGACUCCAACCACCAACACCAAAAGGAUGAUAAAAUGUUAAAAAUAUAUAUUUGGUGGAUGUCAAAAUGUGAAAUAACACAACUUUCUAUUAAAAGAGAUGUUGUUAUAUGCACUGUAAUAGCGAAUAUCACUCAGAAAUAAGUCUUUUUACGAAGCCUUUGAAUAUUCAAAUUGAAAGUAUCGCGCAAUCAAAUCAUUGUCAAAUCAUUGAGUUCUUGGGGUUUUAAAUAGUAGGGAUGAGGGCAGAAAAACUCAAACUAAAAUAUCCCUAGCUAUAUUACUGUAUAAUUGUAUGUCCUGAGAGUGUUUUGAGGUUACUUUAUUGAGACUUUUUAAGACUUUUGUGAAUAAUUCGUUCUUGCCCAUAUAACAGAGCAAAGAACUGAAGUUGGGGUAUUUUACUGUAGCUCUGCCAGAGAUUUCCUCCUUUUCAGACCAAUAUGUCUGAAAUCACAAGCCAUGGCUGCUCGCGAUGUCUGCUCUACGACCAUGAAUACCCACCUUGAUGUCUUUGGAAUGCAAGCUCCAGAGCCCUAUUUCCAGACACGUCCCUUUACCGAAAAUGUCAAUAUCCCGAUGGAGAAUGCUUAUGAUCAUCAACAAAUGAUGCACCUGAUGCCACAUGAGACUUUCAGCGGCAGUAAUUUCGUGUGUCCCACUUCUUCGCAGUGGUCUAAUGGAUAUAUUCCUUCUAACACGGACCUCUAUGGUACUAGCCUGGUAUCGAGAUCACCCUCUGAUACUUUCAAUCUCCCAAGUCCAGUCGACUACAACAGUUACUCUCCCCCUCAGUCCAACUCUUCAUCUUCUUCGUGCUACAGCUCUCCAACGCGGAUGGAUUUGAGCUCUAGUUUCUCUCCAGAAAAUUACCACUAUCAGCAUUGCAACCUACAGAAUUGCUUUUGUCUUUCGCAUUGGUCCAAUCUGCAGGAAGGCAUGGCAACCUCGGAGUUUGCGCCCUACGGCUCUUCAGACUGUUUGUAUUCAUAUGGCGACGACAGUUAUUUCAGAAGGGAUACUUCAAACUCAGAGAUGUGUUUCUUAUAAAAUGCAUUUUGAAGCUCUUUGCGCGAAAAUUCAGUGUCAUAAUUGAUUUAUUUGAAUGCAUUUGUUGUAUUUUAGAUUAGAUAAAAGAACAAGCAGUGAUAGAAUGCAUGAUUUACAAAUUAUUCAUUUAUCUUUUCUACAAUAAACAUAUUUUUUUCGUAAUUAUACUGGCAUUGGGGAAAUAUUUCAGAUUUACAGCGUGCAGUUUCUGUUUUCACUCUUGAAAUGUACAUCGGAGCUUCGAUAGUUUUUUUUUUUUUUACGUACAAAUACAGCUGUGGUACUGAGGGCUCAUUUAUUGUUUUGUAUAUCAACAUUCGACAUUAUGAAAAAUACCAGAAGAAAGCUUAACAAUGUGUUAUUUAUAAAAACAGAUUUUGUCCUGUAACUACAGCUGUUAACAUUUUUAUUUGCUCCUAACAAAUACACUGUAAAUGUCAACUCACACCGAAAACAUAAGUUUAAUCGUCUUCAUUAUUGUAAAGUAAAAACAAAGCAUGCAUUGCACUUUUUCAACCACUUUACUGAUUAAAUAUAAAGCUCACAAAAUUAGUUCAUUUGCAGAAGUUGUUUCUUAUAAGAAUAUUUGAUGAUUUAAGAUUUAUCUCACACCACAAACUGAUCAUGGAACAAGAAGUCAUUUUCACA